rnacentral:rRNA from 1 species
CAGUCGCCACGGUAAUACAGAGGGUGCAAGCGUUAAUCGGAAUUACUGGGCGUAAAGCGCGCGUAGGUGGUUUGUUAAGUUGGAUGUGAAAUCCCCGGGCUCAACCUGGGAACUGCAUUCAAAACUGACUGACUAGAGUAUGGUAGAGGGUGGUGGAAUUUCCUGUGUAGCGGUGAAAUGCGUAGAUAUAGGAAGGAACACCAGUGGCGAAGGCGACCACCUGGACUAAUACUGACACUGAGGUGCGAAAGCGUGGGGAGCAAACAGGAUUAGAUACCCCCGUAGUCCCUGUCUCUUAUAC